UACAGAGGUCUCAAGCGUUGUUCGGAUUCAUUGGGCGUAAAGGGUGCGUAGGCGGCGCGGUAAGUCGGGUGUGAAAUCUUGGAGCUUAACUCCGAAACUGCAUUCGAUACUGCCGUGCUUGAGGACUGGAGAGGAGACUGGAAUUCCUGGUGUAGCGGUGAAAUGCGCAGAUAUCAGGAGGAACACCGGUGGCGAAGGCGGGUCUCUGGACCUGACCUGACGCUGAGGAGCGAAAGCGUGGGGAGCGAACAGG
rnacentral:rRNA from 1 species